rnacentral:rRNA from 1 species
AGAGUUUGAUCCUGGCUCAGGACGAACGCUGGCGGCACGCUUAACACAUGCAAGUCGAACGAGAGAAGAGGAGCUUGCUUUUCUGAUCUAGUGGCGGACGGGUGAGUAACACGUGAGCAAUCUGCCUUUCAGAGGGGGAUACCGAUUGGAAACGAUCGUUAAUACCGCAUAACAUAAUUGAACCGCAUGAUUUGAUUAUCAAAGAUUUAUCGCUGAAAGAUGAGCUCGCGUCUGAUUAGCUAGUUGGUAAGGUAACGGCUUACCAAGGCGACGAUCAGUAGCCGGACUGAGAGGUUGAUCGGCCACAUUGGGACUGAGACACGGCCCAGACUCCUACGGGAGGCAGCAGUGGGGAAUAUUGCACAAUGGAGGAAACUCUGAUGCAGCGAUGCCGCGUGAGGGAAGAAGGUUUUAGGAUUGUAAACCUCUGUCUUCAGGGACGAAAAAAGACGGUACCUGAGGAGGAAGCUCCGGCUAACUACGUGCCAGCAGCCGCGGUAAUACGUAGGGAGCGAGCGUUGUCCGGAAUUACUGGGUGUAAAGGGAGCGUAGGCGGGAUCGCAAGUCAGAUGUGAAAACUAUGGGCUUAACCCAUAAACUGCAUUUGAAACUGUGGUUCUUGAGUGAAGUAGAGGUAAGCGGAAUUCCUAGUGUAGCGGUGAAAUGCGUAGAUAUUAGGAGGAACAUCAGUGGCGAAGGCGGCUUACUGGGCUUUAACUGACGCUGAGGCUCGAAAGCGUGGGGAGCAAACAGGAUUAGAUACCCUGGUAGUCCACGCCGUAAACGAUGAUUACUAGGUGUGGGGGGACUGACCCCUUCCGUGCCGCAGCAAACGCAAUAAGUAAUCCACCUGGGGAGUACGACCGCAAGGUUGAAACUCAAAGGAAUUGACGGGGGCCCGCACAAGCGGUGGAGUAUGUGGAUUAAUUCGAAGCAACGCGAAGAACCUUACCAGGUCUUGACAUCGUAUGCAUAGCUCAGAGAUGAGUGAAAUCUCUUCGGAGACAUAUAGACAGGUGGUGCAUGGUUGUCGUCAGCUCGUGUCGUGAGAUGUUGGGUUAAGUCCCGCAACGAGCGCAACCCUUACUGUUAGUUGCUACGCAAGAGCACUCUAGCAGGACUGCCGUUGACAAAACGGAGGAAGGUGGGGAUGACGUCAAAUCAUCAUGCCCCUUAUGACCUGGGCCUCACACGUACUACAAUGGCUGUCAACAGAGGGAAGCAAAGCCGCGAGGUGGAGCGAACCCCUAAAAGCAGUCUUAGUUCGGAUUGUAGGCUGCAACCCGCCUACAUGAAGUCGGAAUUGCUAGUAAUCGCAGAUCAGCAUGCUGCGGUGAAUACGUUCCCGGGCCUUGUACACACCGCCCGUCACGCCAUGGGAGUCGGUAACACCCGAAGCCUGUAGUCUAACCGCAAGGAGGACGCAGUCGAAGGUGGGAUUGAUGACUGGGGUGAAGUCGUAACAAGGUA